UUGAUUGAUUCAUCAAGUACUCCGACGUAUGGAUACAGAGUUGGAAUGGUCCAUCGGGGUGCCCGACGGCCGACGCGUCGGCGUCCGGGUCGCCCCCGAGGCAACAGGUCUUGGUCAACAAAGGGUUGGAGGUCGGGCCUGGGGCCCUCACUCGGUAAUGAUCCCUCCGCAGGUUCACCUACGGAGA
rnacentral:misc_RNA from 1 species